AAUAAGCUCUAGAGGAGGAUCUAGAUGCUUUCAGUUUUAACUCUUCGCCAAUGGUGGAAAAGGCAGAAUGCCUAAGCUAUGUCUUUGUGGCCAAUAGGAUAGCGGUGUAUCUCCCACAUGACUGGCUGCCCCUGUCUUUUCACAUGGGCUGUAAUUUAGUUCAAUUCAGAACUGCAGAUAGUACAGCUUUCACAGUAGCAAGGGUGCCUGAGCAUAAGUGGCUGAGUUCCGAGUGACUUUAUGAAGCACUUCUCUACCUUUCUCUGCCCGGAAAACGAGGAUUCUGCACCUGCAUCAGGGACAGUCUGGCAGAAGUCUCGGCUCUGUUCCAGGGACAAGGAACUAGAACAAAUAACCAUUCUGAAAUUGGAUUUGGCAAAACUACCAACCAACACAUCAAUGAAGAAAACUGAAGGCAGUUUGGUCUACAUCUUGGAUGACAGUUCCACUAAGGCUGAAGAAGCAUGUCAGGUCUCCAAAGAAGUAGAGAGCUUGGUUAGUUGUACCCGAAAAUUAGGACUUGAUUAAGGCACUUGAACCUCUGAAGGGCUGCAUUCUUCCAGCCUGUAAUCACACACUCAGCAAAGAGCAGAAUUUUGCAGACAAUGGCUCCUUCACUCUCAGCGGCACCUCCACCCAGGCAGACUUUCUGUCUCUGAUUUACGUGCUGAGUCCUCCGUGGGAGAACUGCCUGUGUGGGGACAAUACACAGCCCUAAGGCGGAUGACUUGCCUUGAUCCUUGGCUAUAUCACCUGCAAGUUGUCACUUGAGCACUGGCAGAGAGCUAAGAGGCUCCUUGGGAUACUCCCUAGAAGAAACAAACCCACCACUCAGCCUCUUCAGGUUACAUCUACUUCUUUAAAUCCAAGAGCUGUGAAGUGUGCUGUACCCAGGGACCCUAAUUCUUCCUCACCAAGGCAAAGAGCCUGAAGCAAAAGACUCUGGUAGGUACAUACUUUAUUUUCUGGAGAAGAUGAAAGAGGAGGAGAGCAAGAGGGAAGGAAGGAAAAAUGAGGAAGAAGAGCUUAAAGAAAAGGAGGAGGAAGAAGAGGAAGAGGAAAACAAGAGAAAGGAAAAGUAUCCAAGGGUUUGAGAACUAGAUAAGGGUGUUUUGUAUUUAAUUACAAAAUAUAGAACAUUCAACUCUUUGUCCCAGGUAAAAAUAACAACAACAAAAAAGUCUAUUAAGCACCCAUGCUCUUCAGAACAAAAUACUGAAUGGACGUUUAUGUUUUAUAACAGUUUGAGACCAAAUGCAUUUGCUGAUGGCUCUUUGGAAGACAGCCUUGGAAACCCUAUGGGACAGAUCUACUCUGUCUUGUAGGAUCGCUAUGAAGGAACUCUCAAGCUUGGGAUUCUUAAAUGCAUUUGUUGAGAGUGAGAGAGAGGCAGUUAGAAUCCGGGACUCGGCAGGCGCAUAACUAAGAUAAACACGAACUUUCCUUAAGAAGAAAUGUCAUGUCUUGGAAAGAUACACUACUUACAAGUAGAAGUCUAUCUUUCAGAACAAGGAAACACUGAAAUAUUUCCCAGGGGACAAACCUUGAAAAAUACGAAAAAUGAGGACUAGCUAAAUUUAAAACAGGACCAAAAUAUUUAAACACUAGCCUAAUUCUACAUAGAACCAAUGUCAUGCUGGUAUGAUUUUAAACAAUUCAUGACAUAAGCUCAAGGACAAACUAUUUUAAUUGGUGAACACAUCAUCAUCCUAUCAGCCUGAACACACUAUAGUCUUCACCCUCUACAUGAAUGUUGGAGAUUAAGGCAGUGAUGCAUUAGGUUAAUCAAGGGUUCUUAACUGGAAAAAAGUUUAAUUAAGGUUAAUUGUAACUUUUAAGUAGACACCAAUCCUUCUUAGAACUACCUGUCUUGAAGAGUUCUCCCUGCCUGUCAAUCUGUACCACCUACCAGGUAAGAAAGCAGAGUGCUGUAUCUUACUGGGAAUGCUAUUGUGCUAAUUUUUUAAAAAAUUUGAUAUAUUUGGAGGCUAUUAAAGAAAGAAACAUUCUUUUUAGUUGUUGUUGUUUGUUUUAAAUUUUAGAAAUGGGAAAGCAGCUGUUUUUGAAGGGACAAAGCAUUAGAUAAUUAGAACUGGAUUUAAACCUCUGUUCCUUGAGUAAUAACGGUUUUCAUUCUGACCCUUACUGAAUAUCUCUUACAAAGAAUUGUUUGGAAAUUAAAUGAACUAGAGUAUAUAAGGAUGAUUUUAUUAUCCAGAUUUUAAAAUAAGGAAACUAAAGCUCAGAGAGGUUACAUAACCAAGCAAGUGACUGGCAUAUCCCAGGUCCAUUGACCUAGUUCUAUUGCUCUUUGUUUAUCUAUUACACCAUGCUGCUCAAUAAAGUGCAUUUCUUACAUUGACACAAUUCACCAUGCAUAGAAAAGUUUUAUAUGUGUAAAGACAGUUUGUAUGUCUGCAUUCUCUACCAAAAAAAAAUAAUAAUAAUAAUAUAGCUUGUGAUAAUAAAUGGUUAAUAUAAGGAAAGUGAGAUGAGCAAAGCUAUCAAUAAAUCUAAGCUAUUAUUAAAGUGACAUUCGUGUUAAAAUUAUGGUGUUUUGUUUUGCUUUUGUUUGUUUUUAUCUUCUCUACUGGAUUGAACUCUGUAAAUACCAGAGGUUGUAUAUGGUUUUUAAAUGAACAACACACAUUUAUAUCUGUGAACAUAUAAUACAAUAACAAACACCACAAAGAUGAACAGUACAUAGAUUUCCAAAUCUUUUCAGAGUUUAAAGAUGCUUUUAAAAUUGUAAAUGCUCAAUAAGUGUCCGUUGGGUUGAUUUGUCUCUGGAAAAUAUUUUUGUAUUACUUACAGUCUGUUUUGGAACAGAUACACAAAGUAGGUUUCUUAGAUUAAAUCCAGUUAAUAUGUAUAUUAAAAAUAAAUCUAUGAUUAUUUUUCAGUUGCUAAUAACUUUGCCAAACAGUGCAAAGGUUGUACUGGAAAUUCUUCCCUUUUCCAAACCAAAUUCAUAAGACUUUAAUAAAGGGAAUAAUUUAAAAUCAUUCCCACAGUUUUUGGGGGAAGUGUUUUGGGGAAGGAAAGCCAGAAACUUUUCAAACCCUUUGCUGUCAAUAGGUAUAAGGGCUGUCAGUAAUUAUGAAACUGUUGUAAAACAAAAGUAUAGUCCCUUCUGGGGUGUCUGUUUUUUAGUAGUAAAAGAUGUAUAAUCUGAACCAAGCUUUGGCAUGACUUGCCUGAAGUUUUCUUCUUGCUCAAUGGAGAACCAUGUCCAAGUACUCAACUUGGCUCGCCAUUGCAUUUAGUCAGUUUCUGACUCCUUCAGUGUUUUAGUUCUUUCUGUUAAAGUAGCCAGAAGCCCCAGUAAUUAUAAUCAUAAUUACCCAGAAUGAGCAUUUCUGUGGUAGGUGCUUAAAUGGUGUAAUUAGGAAGGUGAAAGUGCCAGCGUGGAAACAUUUCAUGAGAUUUCAUAUCCUGAACAGAAGAAGAAAUCUUUUUUUUUAAAAAAA